AGAACUGGCCACCUUACAUGCAUCACCCCCCCCCCCCCCCAAAAAAAAACCAAUUCUUUUGCACCUAUUUCUCCUCCAACACCCUCUAGGGCAGAGCUUUCCAGUUUGUCAAGACACAUUUUUGUGUCAACUGCAGUGUGUAAAUGUGUUGCGUGAAUGUAACAAGAUAGCUCUGAGCCAAUGUGAAAUUGAAUAACCAAUACCACCGAGACGUGGAAACUUGAUGACAAAAUGAGCGUCUUGAGAAACUGCAAGUCAUUUCUGGUGUGAGAGAAUUGGCCAUCUGCAAACACGUUGUCCAUGGGAUACCCGGAUGUUUUUGAUGUUUUUACCAUCCUUGCAGGAGGCUUCUCUCAUGUCCCCGCAUGGAGCUGGAGCUGAUAGAGGUCCAGAGUCGAAGGGCAGCCACCAAGAUGGAAGGCCCUCUCUUGUUCCCACCGUCAUCCUGGGUUGAAUUUGAACCGGCAACCUUCAGGUCAGCAACCCAACCUUCAAGUCAUCAGUCCUGCCAGCACAAGGGUUUAACCCACUGUGCCAUCGGGGGGUUCCAUACAAUAAUGAUCAUUAUAAUAAUAAUUUCAGCUUAGUAGAGCCUAAAGCCUUCUCAUUUUAUUUUCCAUUUGGGGGCAGGACUGAGGAUCACAAAAAUGGUUCUGAGGGCACAUGCACUUUGUCUACCUCUGCUCUAGACCAGGGCUUCUGAGACCUUUUCCCCUUUCCACCCAAAAAAUGUUUGCAUAAUCCCAGAAAUAUACUGUAUUCCUUCAAUUCUAAGAUGCACUUUUUCCUAUAUAAAAUCUCUAAAAAUGGGAUGCAUAUUAGAAUCGCAGGUGUAUUUUAUGUAUUUUUGUUGGUGGUGUUGCUACUUAAAUUAGGGUGCAUCUUACAACUGAAAAAAUAGAUAUAUAAAAUAGGUUUAAAAAUCAAACAUUUACAGAUAAUAUAUCAGUAUUUGCCACCUUGGCUAAACAGGCUGUUUUUUUUAAUGAAGUAAAGCUGAAGCAUUUUCUGCAGAGUCCACUAUAAACACUGCUCGUUGUUGCUACCAGAUUUGUUUAAAUGUCUAAACCAGCCACUGCAUAGCUUUCAGAAACAUUGAGCUAAGGGAAUCCCAUUUGGAAUCGGGACCCACAGUUUAAGAAGCAGUGCUCUAGACUACCUGAAAGCCAUAUGACCCUAUAUCAGUGGUUCUCAACCUGUGGGUCCCCAGGCGUUUUGGCCAACAACUCCCAGAAAUCCCAGCCAGAAUAACAGCUGUUGGGAUUUCUGGGAGUUGAAGGCCAAAAUAUCUGGGGACCCACAGGUUGAGAACCACUGCCCUAUAUAUAGAUGACAUACUUUUAUAAUUUUAGAGAGGCUUUCCCUCCAUUCUGCCAUGCUCUCCAUCUCCUGUGGUGCUUACAGUGGAGAGCCUUCUCAGUGGUUGCUCUUGGCUGUAAACCUCCCUCCGUAAGGAAACUUUGGGCCCUUCCAGAUAGGCCCUAUAUCCAGGUCCUGAACCCAAGUUUAUCUAGCAGUGUGGACUCAUAUAAUCCAGUUUAAAGCAGAAAUCCUGGGAUUGGGGCCUGUCUGGAAGGGCCCCAUGUUGGUCCUCUCCUUGCUGUCUUUUGCCAGUAGGCAAAGCACUUUCUGUUUAAAUAGGUCUUAAGCCUUUAUCUGAUUUGGUCAAAAUGUUAUAUAACAGCUUUUUAAAAAAUGUAAAAUGUUUCUAUUGUUAUAAAAUUAUUGCUUUAAUUUGAUUGAUUGUUUCAUGCUUUUAAACCUUUCAUACCAGAUAAGGCUUUAGGUAUUUUAUUUCUGUCGUGUUUUGGGAAAAAUCUUAAUACAUGAAUAAAAUUCCAGGAUCAUUCCUUGAAUUAUGUUGGCCACCUUCUACACUUUCCCUACCAUUCUCCCCUUCAGAGAGUUGACUGGAUCUGAGUUACUGUUCUCUUGGAAUUGAGAUCUCAUUUCUUGCUAAGAUCCAGUGCACCUUGUAAAGCCUUCCUUGCUGCAAAAUACGCAGUUAUUUCCAGAUACAAAGAAGUACAAGCAGGUAGAGAAAGUGUGUAUCUGCGGGCCACUUCAAGUCAAAAUUGGAUGUUCUUUCUUGGCUCAUGUUUAUGGACACAUUUUACAUUUUAGAAUAUUCACUGUAAUAAUGAGGAGCUGCAUAUACAACACAAGAUAACUCUUUAUAAAUCUUUGUAAAUUCAAAGUUCAGGAAUACAAACAACAACCAGUAACAUUACUACUUAACCAACUUUCUUUAAAGAGAAUAAUUUCCCUUCUAUUAAAUCUCCUUAUGGUCACUGAAUAACAUGUGCAUUUGUUCUUGUUUGAAAAUUAUCUACACGUUGUGUCUAUAUCUUUACUCAGAGUGUGCCAAUAUUUAAUGUGCUCCAUGAAUAUCCAGAACCACAGAUGUAAUUUCAGGAAGCAGUGAGUCGGAUUUAAUUGUUGUUAUUCGGUUAAUCCUUCCCUAAAAAUACAAUUUGUAUUUUUAGUUCA